rnacentral:rRNA from 1 species
UACGUAGGGUGCAAGCGUUGUCCGGAUUUAUUGGGCGUAAAGAGCGUGUAGGCGGCCAGGUAGGUCUGGUGUGAAAACUCGAGGCUUAACCUCGAGAUGUCAUCGGAAACCAUCUGGCUAGAGUCCGGAAGAGGAGAGUGGAAUUCCUGGUGUAGCGGUGAAAUGCGCAGAUAUCAGGAGGAACACCGGUGGCGAAGGCGGAUCUCUGGGCCAUUACUGACGCUGAGGAGCGAAAGCGUGGGGAGCGAACAGG